rnacentral:rRNA from 1 species
UACGUAGGGGGCAAGCGUUGUCCGGAUUUAUUGGGCGUAAAGAGCGUGUAGGCGGCCAACUAAGUCGGACGUGAAAUCCCCAGGCUCAACCUGGGAACUGCGUCCGAUACUGGAUGGCUUGAAUUCGGGAGAGGGAUGCAGAAUUCCAGGUGUAGCGGUGAAAUGCGUAGAUAUCUGGAGGAAUACCGGUGGCGAAGGCGGCAUCCUGGACCGACAUUGACGCUGAGGAGCGAAAGCUAGGGGAGCAAACGGG